ACCACCCCACACUUAAAGCCUUGUUCAUCCUCAAACAAUUAUUUACUCUAAGCAUCACAAGAUGAGGAUACUCUAAACUUAUACUACAAGCAAGACACUCAAGCUAGUACAAUAAUGACUACACAGCAUGCAAGUUUCUACACUAAGAAUGGUACAAACACAAUUGAAAGUUCAAGAAUACUACUCCAAAACAUCCUAGCCUCAAGAAUUGACUCACCUAGUUGGCUAAC
rnacentral:lncRNA from 1 species